CCCCUCCUUCCCCUUUCCCCCCUUUUCCCUCAGUAACUAUGCUGUCUCCGGGGGAUGGGACCCCCAAUAACCCUCUUCUAAUCAGCACCCUCAGAAGCCGUGUGGAGUCUCCUUGCCUGCCUGCUGCUGCCAGCCAACUCACAGCCUAGGGCGCCCACCGGGGACACCCCAGGGUGCCCCCCCCAAACGAACCACAACACAGGGGAAUAUGGAUACAACAAUUCUGUACACGUUAGUCUGCUUGGGUUCUUCUCUCAAAAUACUCCAUGGUCCUGCAUAUCUUGGGCUCUUUUCUGAAGUGGAUUGAUUUUUCACAUCACCUGAGAAGGCAGAAGCUCUUUUGGAAAGAGCCUGACUCUGCAGUCAUAAAAAGGGGUUAUGUUAAGCUGGAUGUUAUCAAUGGAGUAAUAUCAACAGUAAUGUCAUUAGAAGAGAGGGAUAUUUAUCUUUUAAUGAAACCAAUUAUCUAGUCAGUGAAUUAUCAGCUUUUUAUGCAUGUAUUAUCAAUUCUUCAGGGUUUCUAUUUCAUCUUAGGACCUCUUUCGUUUUCCUUUGAAGCUUCUAAAUGUAUAUCCUUGGCAUGCUUUUCAUGCCAGGUGUGACCAGGACUUUCCUUUGGGAGCUGCAUGGUGGAGAGCUAGGAAGAUGGAGAUAUUGAUAAUGCAGUUAUGGUGGCCUAGGAAGGCUGUUAGGUUUUUUUUCUGACUGCUUGAAAUGUAUUAAUAUUAUAACUUUCUGCAUUUUGCUUUCCAUUGAAAAGUGAGUGUUAAGAUAAAACAUUUUUUAAUGAAUGGCAAUUUUUUUUUUCAUAUAUGUUUUAGAGGUAUCAGAUUAGCCUGGGAAAAUACAGGGUUUCACUCCUUGCUCCAGCAUGGGUCAGCAGGACCAAGGCAUCAAGUGCUGUAGAGGUCCUGAGAGCAUUUAUCACAUGCAAUACCCUCCUCUAGCAGACCUGGUUUAUUAUUUAUUGUUAUGAAUAGAAAGUUGUAUUUUUUUUAAGUUUCAGAGUUAAAAACAAGUCAGACCAGUCAGACCUCUUUAGUUUCACUGCCAAAGGAAAGCUCCUCAAUUACCUGUUAAUGGCCGGUGAUUAACCAUUGUCCCCCUGAUGCUGGCCGCUUGCCAGAAACAAACACAGGGACAGACCCUCCAAGUACGAAGAAAAUAGCAGUGACAUCAGAGCCAGUAUGCAGCUGAGAAAUGCAUUGUGCCCCGAAUUUUUACAGUUUUACAGUUUUUACAAGAAAAAUCCCUAAAAUUACGAGCCAACAAGUGACUUAAGUGACGUCUAAGGAUGGGAGCGCAGUCCUGUACCUGCUUGGACCCUUUUGCUUCUCACCCUAACCUGAAAAGAUGCUGAUUAAAGAGAUGCUCCGGAGUGUUAGACAAAAAAGAUAGGAAUCUGCUGCUCUCCCGUGAGGACAGAAUCCCCAGCUCUGCCUGCAGACCAGCGGACAAAGCUGCAUCAUCCUCCUUCUCUGUGCCAUGCCUGGGAGCAACGGCGGCAUGGGCGCGAGCCGUUGAUUUCUCCCCACCUGAGCUGA